UACGGGGGGGGCAAGCGUUGUUCGGAAUUACUGGGCGUAAAGGGCUCGUAGGUGGCCAACUAAGUCAGACGUGAAAUCUCUGGGCUUAACCCGGAAACUGCCGUUGAUACUAUCUGUCUUGAAUGUAGUGGAGGUGAGCGGAAUAUGUCAUGUAGCGGUGAAAUGCUUAGAUAUGACAUAGAACAUCGAUUGCGAAGGCAGCUCGCUACACUAUGAUUGACACUGAGGCACGAAAGCGUGGGGAUCAAACAGG
rnacentral:rRNA from 1 species